GACGGGAGCUUGCUCCCUGAUGUUAGCGGCGGACGGGUGAGUAACACGUGGGUAACCUGCCUGUAAGACUGGGAUAACUCCGGGAAACCGGGGCUAAUACCGGAUGCUUGAUUGAACCGCAUGGUUCAAUUAUAAAAGGUGGCUUUUAGCUACCACUUACAGAUGGACCCGCGGCGCAUUAGCUAGUUGGUGAGGUAACGGCUCACCAAGGCAACGAUGCGUAGCCGACCUGAGAGGGUGAUCGGCCACACUGGGACUGAGACACGGCCCAGACUCCUACGGGAGGCAGCAGUAGGGAAUCUUCCGCAAUGGACGAAAGUCUGACGGAGCAACGCCGCGUGAGUGAUGAAGGUUUUCGGAUCGUAAAACUCUGUUGUUAGGGAAGAACAAGUACCGUUCGAAUAGGGCGGUACCUUGACGGUACCUAACCAGAAAGCCACGGCUAACUACGUGCCAGCAGCCGCGGUAAUACGUAGGUGGCAAGCGUUGUCCGGAAUUAUUGGGCGUAAAGCGCGCGCAGGCGGUUUCUUAAGUCUGAUGUGAAAGCCCCCGGCUCAACCGGGGAGGGUCAUUGGAAACUGGGGAACUUGAGUGCAGAAGAGGAGAGUGGAAUUCCACGUGUAGCGGUGAAAUGCGUAGAGAUGUGGAGGAACACCAGUGGCGAAGGCGACUCUCUGGUCUGUAACUGACGCUGAGGCGCGAAAGCGUGGGGAGCGAACAGGAUUAGAUACCCUGGUAGUCCACGCCGUAAACGAUGAGUGCUAAGUGUUAGAGGGUUUCCGCCCUUUAGUGCUGCAGCAAACGCAUUAAGCACUCCG
rnacentral:rRNA from 1 species